rnacentral:rRNA from 1 species
UACGGAGGGAGCUAGCGUUGUUCGGAAUUACUGGGCGUAAAGCGCGUGUAGGCGGCCAUCUAAGUCGGGCGUGAAAUCCCACGGCUCAACCGUGGAAGUGCACUCGAAACUGGAUGGCUAGAGUCCUGGAGAGGAAGGUGGAAUGCUUGGUGUAGAGGUGAAAUUCGUAGAUAUCAAGCGGAACACCGGUGGCGAAGGCGGCCUUCUGGACAGUGACUGACGCUGAGACGCGAAAGCGUGGGGAGCAAACAGGG